rnacentral:rRNA from 1 species
GGAAAGAACCAACAGGGAUUGCCUUAGUAACGGCGAGUGAAGCGGCAAAAGCUCAAAUUUGAAAUCUGGCGUCUUUGGCGUCUGAGUUGUAAUUUGAAGAAGGUAACUUUGGGUUUGGCCUUUGUUUAUAUUCCUUGGAAUAGGAUGUCAUAGAGGGUGAGAACCCCGUAUUCGACAAGUUGGGCAUUCCUAUGUAAAGUGCUUUCGAAGAGUCGAGUUGUUUGGGAAUGCAGCUCUAAGUGGGUGGUAAAUUCCAUCUAAAGCUAAAUAUUGGCGAGAGACCGAUAGCGAACAAGUACAGUGAUGGAAAGAUGAAAAGAACUUUGAAAAGAGAGUGAAAAAGUACGUGAAAUUGUUGAAAGGGAAGGGCUUGAACUCAGACUUGGUAUUCAGUGAUCAACUAUCUCUUGUGGAUUGUGCACUCGCUGUUUACUGGGCCAACAUCGGUUUGAACGGUGAGAUAAUGACUUUGGAACGUGGCUUGGACUUUAUGUUUGAGUGUUAUAGCCUUGGUUGAUAUCACCAGUUUGGACCGAGGUCUGCGCU